rnacentral:lncRNA from 1 species
UGGGCAGUAGGAAGAGGGAGUAGCCUGCUGCAGAGGCAGAGCCUCAUGGAAAACCUCUACCAGGGCAGUGCACCUGUGGCUUUGCAGGGUGUAGCCCCCAUGGCUGCCCUCGUGGGCUGGGCUGGUGUUGAGUGCCUGUAGCUUUUCCAUACUGAGGGUGUGAGCUGUUGGUGGGCUUAUGAACCUGGAGUCUGGAGGAUGGUGGCCUCCUGUGUGGGGGCUCAAAGCCUAUAUUUUCCUUCUGCACUGCCAUAGUGGAAGUUUCCUAAGAGGUUCUGCUUCUGCAGGAGGCUGCUGC